GAUGAACGCUGGCGGCGUGCCUAAUACAUGCAAGUCGAGCGAACAGACGAGGAGCUUGCUCCUCUGACGUUAGCGGCGGACGGGUGAGUAACACGUGGAUAACCUACCUAUAAGACUGGGAUAACUUCGGGAAACCGGAGCUAAUACCGGAUAAUAUAUUGAACCGCAUGGUUCAAUAGUGAAAGACGGUUUUGCUGUCACUUAUAGAUGGAUCCGCACCGCAUUAGCUAGUUGGUAAGGUAACGGCUUACCAAGGCAACGAUGCGUAGCCGACCUGAGAGGGUGAUCGGCCACACUGGAACUGAGACACGGUCCAGACUCCUACGGGAGGCAACAGUAGGGAAUCUUCCGCAAUGGGCGAAAGCCUGACGGAGCAACGCCGCGUGAGUGAUGAAGGUCUUCGGAUCGUAAAACUCUGUUAUUAGGGAAGAACAAAUGUGUAAGUAACUAUGCACGUCUUGACGGUACCUAAUCAGAAAGCCACGGCUAACUACGUG
rnacentral:rRNA from 1 species